CCUACGGGAGGCAGCAGUGAGGAAUAUUGGUCAAUGGACGAGAGUCUGAACCAGCCAAGUAGCGUGAAGGAUGACUGCCCUAUGGGUUGUAAACUUCUUUUAUAUGGGAAUAAAAUGUUCCACGUGUGGGAUUUUGUAUGUACCAUAUGAAUAAGGAUCGGCUAACUCCGUGCCAUCAGCCGCGGUAAUACGGAGGAUCCGAGCGUUAUCCGGAUUUAUUGGGUUUAAAGGGAGCGUAGGUGGUUUGUUAAGUCAGUUGUGAAAGUUUUCGGCUCAACCGUAAAAUUGCAGUUGAAACUGGCAGUCUUGAGUACAGUAGAGGUGGGCGGAAUUCGUGGUGUAGCGGUGAAAUGCUUAGAUAUCACGAAGAACUCCGAUUGCGAAGGCAGCUCACUGGACUGCAACUGACACUGAGGCUCGAAAGUGUGGGUAUCAAACAGGAUUAGAUACCCCAGUAGUC
rnacentral:rRNA from 1 species